UCUGCCUGACGUAGACGCUAUUCCCUAAGAUUAACCCAUGCAUGUUUUUGACAUUUGAAAAAUGGACUGCUCAGUAAUACUCACUUUAUUUUAUGUACAUGUGAAACUAACUACGUUAAAGUGUAGAUAAGAUGUGUACAGUAAGAGUGAGACCUAUCAGCUAGUUGUUAAGGUAAUGGCUUAACAAGGCGGUGACGGGUAACGGUAUUACUUUGUAAUAUUCCGGAGAAGGAGCCUGAGAGACGGCUACUAAGUCUAAGGAUUGCAGCAGGGGCGAAACUUGACCUAUGGAUUUAUUCUGAGGCAGUUAUGGGAAGUAAUAUUAUAUUGUUUCAUAUUUUAAAAGUAUAUGAGGUGAUUAAUUGGAGGGCAAAUCAAGUGCCAGCAGCCGCGGUAAUACUUGUUCCAAGAGUGUGUAUGAUGAUUGAUGCAGUUAAAAAGUCCGUAGUUUAUGGUUAAGAAGCAAUAUGAGGUGUACUGUAUAGUUGGGAGAAAGAUGAAAUGUGACGACCC
rnacentral:rRNA from 1 species